GAAGAACGCUGGCGGCGUGCCUAAUACAUGCAAGUCGAGCGAAGCGGCGGAUGGGUGAGUAACGCGUGGGUAACCUGCACUUAAGUCUGGGAUACCAUUUGGAAACAGAUGCUAAUACUGGAUACUUAAGGAUGGACCUGCGAUGCAUUAGCUAGUUGGUAAGGUAACGGCUUACCAAGGCGAUGAUGCAGAGACGAGUUGAGAGACUGAUCGGCCAAAGUGGGACUGAGACACGGCCCAAACUCCUACGGGAGGCAUCAGUAGGGAAUCUUCCACAAUGGACGAAAGUCGGAUAGAGCAACGCCGCGUGAGUGAAGAGGGUUUUCGGAUCGUAAAGCUCUGUUGUUGGAGAAGCGUUAAUCAACCAGAAAGUCACGGCUAACUACGUGCCAGCAGCCGCGGUAAUUC
rnacentral:rRNA from 1 species